AUUCAAAAUUCAUAUUCAUAUUGUGUUAUACAACAUGAUAGAUGAUACGUAUCAAAAUUGAAUAACAAAAAAAAAAAUAUAGUAUGUUACCUGUAUUAUAAUGAAAGAUGACCAAGCAGAACAGCCCAAUAAUAUGAAAAGUGUUCCUGAGACCCAAUGUUUAAGAGUUUGAGUGUCGUGACUUCCAGCAUGAUGAUGAGUUGUGUUUGGAGUAUAAAAAAGGUGGAUUGGUGGUCCUUUGUAAAUAGUCAUUAAUAAUGCUCCUCCAAAUGUUACUAUUGUCCCAAUCACCUUUGCUAUGCUUCUUAUCUGCUUAAUAUUCACACGUUCAAUCCUGAUAAAAAAGGUGGAUUGGUGGUCCUUUGUAAAUAGUCAUUAAUAAUGCUCCUCCAAAUGUUACUAUUGUCCCAAUCACCUUUGCUAUGCUUCUUAUCUGCUUAAUAUUCACACGUUCAAUCCUGAUAAAUGGCGAACUAUAAGAUUAGUACUUUUUU
rnacentral:lncRNA from 1 species